GAAUUGAUUGAAAGGUGAAGGGCCGGUUCAAAAGAUGGGUGAGAGAGGGGAAAAUAGGCGGGACCGCGACGCGGGAUGAGAAGGCGUGGAGCAGUGGGGGCGCUCACGUCAGAGACAGGGUCUUGCUUCGUCACCCAGGCUGAAGUGCAGUGGCACAACCAUGGCUCACUGCAGCGUCAAACUCCUGGGCUCAAGUGAUCCUUCCAACUCAACCUCCUAAGUAGCUGGGACUACAGUUCUCCAUUCAAGCAAGUAACAGCCUCUGAAUUUUAUCAUAUCAGGUAGGUAUGGGACAGGGAGGAAAGUGGAAUUAGUCUGUGCGAUUUUUCCUGGAUUUUGUUUUCUGUAAAACUAAAUUCACUGAGAAGCGCAGGAUUGAAGGGAAGCAGCGUGGUGACUGGGAGAUACAGGAGGUGGGGAGAGGCUUCUCCCCUAGAGAUUCCAUGAGGGUGGGUGGUGGUGAAAAGGUAUACAGGAUUCAAACAUUGCUCCAUGGUGGAGCUCCAAGGAGGAGGCUCAGAAGGGUUAGAUGUGUUAGAUAUCUGGGGAGGGAAGGACCCUAGUACAGGGUUCCCAAGCUUAGCUAAGACUCUCAUGCCCCACAUAGGGCCACAAAAGUCCCAAAAGAGCAAAGAUUUGCAGCAUGGGAAACAAUCAUUCAUGAAGGCUCUGUUACCUGGGUACAGAGAUCACUCAUGAUGGGAGGGUCUCCCUUUUCUCUGAUGCUUUUGUAACUGUGUGCCAUUGACCAGACCAAGGGAGGGCAGAGUAACCCCAGGAAUGUCUGUGAUUACAUUUCCCAUCAAGCAGGACCUAUGAGGGAGGUAUGGGGAGAAAGAAGAUAUUUCCUAGAUGCAGAAAUUAAGUUGAAGUAUAAAAAAUAAGGUGGUAUUUCUUGCACACUUGAAUUUGUUGAGAUUUUACAUGCGAUUCUUUAAUAUAAUUAUUAAAUAUCCUGAGCUUUGGGUGUUGUUAUACCUGAAAUUGAAAAUCAAUAGAUAGCACUUAUGAUAAUAUGAUUGCAUAAGUAUUAUUCACUAUAAACAAAUAUCGUGAUUGGACUAAGCUAGAAGGAAAUAACUUAAUCUUAUGACAUUAAAACUUUGCUGCUGAAAUCUUUCCUUCGUUUCUGGUUCUACUUAGCUGCCAGCAUAAUCGCAUAAUCUGAUGCCUUAGAUUCCUUCUUUUGCACUGAAGAACUUCCUCAAGUCAUGCUUUUUCAUAUAGGGAGCUUAAAUGGUAUUUUUUUUUACUUCCGAAAUGUCUUUGUCUUGUCCUCAUGCUUAGUUAAUAAUAAUGCUGAGUUCCAAAAAUUUUUUCCUUAGACCUUUGAAGAUAUUACUCUUUUUUUCCUAUAUUCUCACCUACUUUUUGUCCACUGCUGUAACAUUGAUUAAGGGGGGUUAAUUGAAGUCUACCUCUAGGGUAUUUCUAGUUCUCCUUGUAACUCCUACAGUUUUUGCUCUGAGUGUUGAUGCUGUUAUUUGGUGUAUAGAUUUUUUUUUUUUUUUUUGAGACGGAGUCUUGCUCUGUCGCCCAGGCUGGAGUGCAGUGGCGCGAUCUCGGCUCACUGCAAGCUCCGCCUCCCGGGUUGACGCCAUUCUCCUGCCUCAGCCUCCCGAGUAGCUGGGACUACAGGCACCCACCACCACGCCCACCUAAUUUUUUGUAUUUUUAGUAGAGACGGGGUUUCACCGCGUUAGCCAGGAUGGUCUCGAUCUCCUGACGUUGUGAUCCGCCCGCCUCAGCCUCCCAAAGCGUUGGGAUUACAGGCGUGAGCCACCGCGCCCGGCCGGUGUAUAGAUGUUAUAACUUCAUUGUGACUAUCUAGUUUAAUGCUUUUUUCUUUUUUCCUUUCUUUUUUUUUUUUUUUUUUGAGGUGGAGUCUCCCUCUGUUGCCCAGGCUGGAGUGCAGUGGCGCAAUCUCAGCUCACUGCAACCUCUGCCUCCGGAUUCAAACGAUUCUUGCGCCUCAGCCUCCUGAGUAGCUGGGACUACAGGCCCGCACCACCAUGCCUGGCUAAUUUCUUGUAUUUUUAGUAGAGACAGGGUUUCACCAUGUUGGCCAGGCUGGUCUUGAAUUCCUGACCUCAAGUGAUCCGCCUGCCUUGGCCUCCCAAAGUGCUGGGAUUACGGAUGUGAGCCACUGCACCUGGCCUCUAGUUUAAGUCUUUCUUUUCUUUUUUUUUUUUCUGGCCCAGAUUCUGCAAUUAUUCUAAGUCUGGCUUUCAUUUUUCUCUCAGGCUGGCUUUCAUUUUUCUCUCAGGCCCCAAUUCUCUUACAGCCCACUUCUCCCUUUGAAUUU